CUCUGAUAUCCUGAAAUCUCUGCAGCCCUACCUCUGCCAGGAGCAGCACAGGAAUCCACACCCAACUGAUGAGGAAACUAAGGCUCGGAAAGUUCAGGAAACUUGCCAAGAUUACCCACGUGGUUACGAAGAUCUCUGCAUCAAAAGAGAAGCUCAGAGCAGCACAGCAUCCUCAGCCCUCCUUCUCUCUUGAAGCAGACACUGAAAGACAGGAGCCGUCUCCAGGCUGGGAGAAAUUUUACCUCAAGAAGCUCAUCCUCUGGCUGCAGAAGUUUCAGUGUAUCAACAGGACCACCUGGAACAAUUGAAGAUAUAUAAU